GUUUGAGUUCAGUUCGUUUCAGUUUCAGGAAGGCAAUGUGGCCUGUGAGGAUCUUGGUGAUUGCACACGUGAUUAUCACCUCAACAUGUGCUAAAUGUCCCGACAUCCAGCAUUGUACUGAGUGUGAUGAACAGACAGGUCGAUGCAGUACAAAGUGCCACAGAGGAUAUUUCGGCCCCAACUGCCAGGAUGAUUGCAGCAGCAGGUGCAGGUACCACACGUGUGAGCUGCUCCCUGACAAAGGUAUUGGGAGAUGUACUGAUGGUUGUAUACCUGGAUUCCAGGGUCUCACCUGUCAGAGGCCAUGUGACACUCUCCAGGUAGGCUGUACCAGGUGCCCAGGUGGAUGUGAUGGGGAGUAUUGUCAGGUGGCUGGAGCUUGUUUCUCUGGUUGCAGCCACUCCUACUACGGAGCAGGAUGUAAGACAUGUUCCAGCAGAUGUAAGUCCUGCAACAGGAUCACAGGAACCUGUGAGGAGUGUCAUCCUCCUUAUUCAGGAGUAGAGUGUAGACACUCAUGCGAGAACUGUGUCGGAGGAUGUGAGAGUGGCUGUACAGAGGGAUGCAGACAAGGUUUCUAUGGUGACGACUGUACUGAAGCAUGCAGUGACACCUGUCGACCUAACCCCUCCCUGACCACGGGUGGACAAUGUCCAGAUGGAGAUUCAUGUCCACCUGAGUGUCACAGCCAGACUGGCGAGUGUGUCUACGGUUGUGUUGAUGGCUGGUAUGGCCCCAAGUGUUCACGGCGAUGCAGCCUAACUGUCAACACCAGAGGUGUAACCAGGCAGGUGCGUGUGUUGUAGGAUGUGGGAAAUGCCUCAAGGAAGCAUGUAACACAUCUUGUAUCACAGGGUGUGACGGGUGUGCGGGUGGUGUUUGUGAUGUGACAUCCGGGGUCUGUGUACAGGGAUGCAACUCGACUGGAUCCAGGUGCGGCGAUAACUGCACCGACAACUGCCGAACAUCUGAUUGUCCGUCUGGAUCGUGUGAACCAGGGGAACCUGUGUCUGAUGCCUCCAACGCCGUCACGGUGACAUCGGUUGUGCUUGUCGUCUUCAUCCUCCUGGCUGCAUGUACCGCUGGCUACAUCUGCUACCGUAAAGGGAAUGUGUCCCACACGGAAUAAAGUUGAUGAUCAGAAACUGGAAGCUAAGCUGGAGCAGGCAGACAUCGCCAUCCACGACUACCUGGAGCUACAUCACUACGAGGACAUCAGAGAGGAGGACAUUGUGGAACCAGACCAGAACCAAGGCACCGGUAGGGAGGAGGCUCCCGACAUUCCUGUUGUAGCAGACUGCUACCCUGGAGAACUGAUGACUGGUGUCAAGGAUAAGUCAGGAAGAGGCUCGUACACUGAACUUAGGAAGGGCGGCCAUGUCUCUCGUCCUAGAUCGUCUGUCGGGUACAUAUCGCCACUUGAAUAGGAGAACCAGUUGUGUCUAUCAACCCUUGACACGAAGAUUAGUUAGUGUCUAUCAACCCUUGAGAAGGACAUCAGUUGUGUCUAUCUACCCUUGUCAAGGACAUCAGUUGUGUCUAUCAACCCUUGAGAAGGACAUCAGUUGUAUCUAUCAACGCUUGACAAGGACAUCAGUUGCGUCUAUCAACCAUUGACAAGGAUAUCAGUUGUAUUUAUCAACAAUUGACAAGGACAUCAGUUGCGUCUAUCAACCAUUAACAAGGAUAUCAGUUGCGUCUAUCAACCCUUGACAAGGACAUCACUUGUGUCUAUCAACCAUUAACAAUGACAUCAGUUCAGUCUAUCCACCAUUGACAAGGAUAUCAGGUGUGUCUAUCAACCCAUGACAAGGACAUCAGUUGUGUCUAUCAACCCUUGACAAGGA
rnacentral:misc_RNA from 1 species